rnacentral:rRNA from 1 species
AACGAACGCUGGCGGCAUGCCUAACACAUGCAAGUCGAACGAGACCUUCGGGUCUAGUGGCGCACGGGUGCGUAACGCGUGGGAACCUGCCCUUAGGUUCGGAAUACCUCCCCGAAAGGGGUGCUAAUACCGGAUAAUGUCUUCGGACCAAAGAUUUAUCGCCUUUGGAUGGGCCCGCGUUGUAUUAGCUAGUUGGUAGGGUAAAAGCCUACCAAGGCGACGAUCCAUAGCUGGUCUGAGAGGAUGAUCAGCCACACUGGGGCGGAGACACGGCCCAAACUCCGACGGGAGGCAGCAGUGGGGAAUAUUGGACAAGGGGCGAAAGCCUGAUCCAGCAGUGCCGCGUGAGUGAUGGAGGGCUUAGGGUUGUAAAGCUCUUUUACCCGGGAUGAUUAUGACAGUACCGAGAGAAUAAGCUGCGGCUAACUCCG